UACGUAGGGUGCAAGCGUUAAUCGGAAUUACUGGGCGUAAAGGGUGCGUAGGCGGGUCUUUAAGUCAGGGGUGAAAUCCUGGAGCUCAACUCCAGAACUGCCUUUGAUACUGAAGAUCUUGAGUCCGGGAGAGGUGAGUGGAACUGCGAGUGUAGAGGUGAAAUUCGUAGAUAUUCGCAAGAACACCAGUGGCGAAGGCGGCUCACUGGCCCGGUACUGACGCUGAGGCACGAAAGCGUGGGGAGCAAACAGG
rnacentral:rRNA from 1 species